rnacentral:snoRNA from 1 species
GAGCUGUGAGGAACACUGCGCACAUGUGAUGGUAGGGUCCAUCACACUUCUCUGAUCUUGCGAUGAGACCACGCGCAUCUGAGCUC